GCCCGAUUAAUUUAAUGGUAGAAUGCCAACCUUGUAAGUUGGAUACAGGAGUUCGAUUCUCUUAUCAGGCA
rnacentral:tRNA from 1 species